CUAGAAGAAGAAACCUAAGGGGACCAGACCUGAACAGCUGUAGGAGCAUCUAGGAGGCUCAGCCACUGCUGCUGGGCUCUGAGGAAGGAAGGGAGCUGGCCCCAGAGCACUGGGGAGACCUUGACCCUCCUCCCCCAACUUUCCCAAUGCCAGCCUCUAGGCAGUCAGGGCUGGACCUAGAUUUUGGAGGACUUGGAGUUCCUCCACAGCCAGCUCAGACCAGAGUUAUGCUGACAACUCACAGCAAAUUCAGACAGUCUGUGAAGCAGCCCUCCUACUGUGUUCAGCCUGGAUCACCCUGGCACCAGAAAACCUGCUUAUCUUCAGCAAAGGAGCCUUUGAUCUCCUCCACCUUGGAUGACUGACAAUUCCAGAUUGAAGCCUUCCCUAGGGGGGAGAUACACAAAGGGGACUGGGAACCCAACAGCCAUCUAGGCAGCCACAACCUCCUGUUUGCCUGCCUGAGCACCUCUCAGGACACACUAUGGAGGACCACCCUGCUUGCCCAAGCCUGGAGGCUCAAUAGCCAGCAGGCCACUUGGAGCAGUUUGGAAAAAGGGAUGGAGCUGGGAGCUUCAGAACUGAUGGGGGCUGCAAAAGAGAGUGGGGUUCAACCCCAGCAGAAUCAUUCCAGUCUCUGCCAAGGUUUCUGAUCCUGGAGCCUGAACCACAGCAGUAGAAACUAAAUGUCUCCCAGUGUAGACACUGAACUCUGGUCCUAGGACAAUGUCCUCCCUUGAAGCAGAGAUCAAAGAAGCUGUGAGGAAAGAAGGAGGCAGAGAGCAGAGCUGCAGCAGGCCAUUCAGAAAGGGGAACUUGAAGAGAACCCCUGGCUCAGGAGGAAGGAAGGCAUGGAACUGGAGAUAACCUGAGAACUUGCUUGUGUUUCAGUCUUCAGAGAACUGCAGGAAAGAUCUGAACACCCAGAUGGGUGGUGUAUCUACUGUACCUCCCAAUACAUGCACCCUGACUUCAAUUGAUGGAGUAUCAGCAUAGAAGAAACACCAGGGGGACAAGACUCCAGGGAAGGAAAGUGAAACCCUGGUGUUCUAUGGAAUCACCUGCAUACUCGAUGUGAGAACAAAGUGGGUUCUCCCAGAUCCCACCUGAACUUGCUGGGCAGAGUGGGAUACUGGUCGAAAAACAAUCAGAAACAAAACGACAGAAAAAAAAAAAAAACCCGCUUAAGGUCUUUGUAAUCUCAGUCGAGUUUCGUUCAUAGUCCUCUGACCACUGAACGGAACUUUGCACGUUGGACAUCUAACAGACUUAAAACGUAACUUUACCGAUGGUCAACUGAACGAUAUCCGCGAAUGGCAAGCAAUCGCGGAAUUGAUCUUUCAUCCUUUAGAAACCCACGAAGCCUGAGACCUAAGAUAGGAACAGAAAACCUAGCAAUCUCAUCAUCCCUGGUGUAACUGCUAUGGUUUGGUUUCAUCGCGCUGGACCACGCCUAGUCCUCCGCGAUUCCUGAAAGCCAAAAGACAAACCUCUUUACCAAUGCAAGUUGUGUCAGGGUUGCCCCUGCAUGGCCUCUCCAUGACUCCUAGAAACCGGCUAUCCAUGCUGCAGUCAUUUCCUUGGAAAACGCAGCAGCACCACCCAAAACAUUUCCCUUAAAAUCGUUUACUAAAGGCCUAAAAAAAGACACGGAGCAUCAA